CAGAAAUACACCCUGUACAGGCCGCCAAUCUAUUGCAGUACUCCAUGCACUUUGCCUGACUGGACCAUUCCCCUUUGAAAAGAAGCACUUUUUUCAUCACUGGAGAGGCCUUUUUUUCAUUUGCUCCCAUUUCUGUGGUUUUGUCUGUGAUAGCAUGUAUUUUUGUUCUGUGAACUGUGAUUUCUCCCUGUUCCGUUUUGCUGUUAGCCAAUUGUAUGUGUAUGACCAUUAUUUCUGGUGUCUUGACCCAAACUAUUGCCAAUGCCGUUUGUUCUGUUUGUUGAUUGUAGAUUAUUGUAAAUAUUAUAUUUCUAUAUAGUUGUGUUUAAAAUUUGUACUUGUGUGUAUAUUUGUGUGCACUGAAGAAUGUUGGGAUGCAGGGAGUCUGAUGCCAUUUCUUUUGUAACUCUACCAUUUUCACACCGUUAAUGCAGACAGGGAGACAGGGAAGAAGUGCAUAUUUAUUUAUAUAUAAAUAAAUAAGGGCCUUGUCAGCU